rnacentral:rRNA from 1 species
GAUGAACGCUGGCGGCGCGCCUAACACAUGCAAGUCGAACGAUUAAAGCACCUUCGGGUGUGUAUAAAGUGGCGAACGGCUGAGUAACACGUGGGCAACCUGCCCCUUUCAUUGGGAUAGCCACGGGAAACCGUGGAUAAUACCGAAUACUUCGAGACUUCCGCAUGGAAGACUCGAGAAAGCUCCGGCGGAGAGGGAUGGGCCCGCGGCCUGUUAGCUUGUUGGUGGGGUAACGGCCUACCAAGGCAAUGAUGGGUAGCUGGGUUGAGAGACCGACCAGCCAGAUUGGGACUGAGACACGGCCCAGACUCCUACGGGAGGCAGCAGUGGGGAAUCUUGCACAAUGGGCGAAAGCCUGAUGCAGCGACGCCGCGUGCGGGAUGAAGGCCUUCGGGUUGUAAACCACUUUCAGCAGGGACGAGGCGAAAGUGACGGUACCUGCAGAAGAAGCCCCGGCUAACUACGUG